GACGAACGCUGGCGGCGUGCUUAACACAUGCAAGUCGAACGGAAAGGCCCUGCUUUUGUGGGGUGCUCGAGUGGCGAACGGGUGAGUAACACGUGAGUAACCUGCCCUUGACUUUGGGAUAACUUCAGGAAACUGGGGCUAAUACCGGAUAGGAGCUCCUGCUGCAUGGUGGGGGUUGGAAAGUUUCGGCGGUUGGGGAUGGACUCGCGGCUUAUCAGCUUGUUGGUGGGGUAGUGGCUUACCAAGGCUUUGACGGGUAGCCGGCCCGGGAGGGUGACCGGGCACCAUGGGACUGAGGUACGGCCCAGAAUGCAAACGGGGGCAACAGGGGGGAAUUUUGCACAACGGGCGGAAGCCUGAUGCAGCAACGCUGCGUGCGGGAUGACGGCCUUCGGGUUGUAAACCGCUUUCGCCUGUGACGAAGCGUGAGUGACGGUAAUGGGUAAAGAAGCACCGGCUAACUACGUG
rnacentral:rRNA from 1 species